UUGUCUACGAGCUAGUAGACCCAACACGUUAAAGGUUUAGCAGUGCCUAGAAAACGCCCACACAAAUCUGCCAGAGAGAAAUCGUGCACAAAUAAGGCUUGCGAAGAAUCUGUACACCAGCAAAGGCAGUCGAAGGGGCAACGCUGGCAACCGCCUAGAGCUUCAGGUUCUCACUCAACUACACCACGUCCCAUAGUUCUGUACACGGCAACUUUCCUCGUCUCUUAGCAAACACGCUGGUUCACGUUUGUGCCUGUGAACGAAUAGGAACUGUAGCAGAAUGGUUCAAGGCGGUGAGCGUAGCGCGUCCACAUCUGUUUUGGAGCAAGGCUCCAGGGAUUCAAGCUCCAGAGAUUCCAGCUCCAGAAAAGCUGGAUUCGAUGCCAUUCGGAAGAAAGCACAAGAUGAACAAAAAACACAUGAUCGUAAGAGUACCCAACAUGGUGCUUGGGGGCCAGUGUUUAAGAAUAAGCAACAUUUUGUGAAUAUGCAUAACUGUUAGCUUUGUUGUUGAAACUGUGUAGUAAGAUAGUUUUGUAGUUUACAAUGGUCACUGGUUAGACACUACUGUUUGUUCUGAUUCAUAACCAAGUAGUGUUGUCAUUCACAAUUCAGUAUGUAAAUAUAUUAAUUAAUGUGUGGUGGAAUUUUAACAAAUGUAUGCAAAUGUAUGUGUACCUUGUAAAAUUGGCUGUAGUGAUUUUUAAAUACUACGUUUGAUAGGAUUAUAUUCCUGUGUUAUAUUUUCCAGUACGACAAAAAAUUUUGUUUUGAUACUGGAUUUGGAGGAAACGUGAGAGAAAUUAAAAUUACUGAAAAUACUA